rnacentral:rRNA from 1 species
ACGGAGGGUGCAAGCGUUAAUCGGAAUUACUGGGCGUAAAGCGCACGCAGGCGGUUUGUUAAGUCAGAUGUGAAAUCCCCGGGCUCAACCUGGGAACUGCAUCUGAUACUGGCAAGCUUGAGUCUCGUAGAGGGGGGUAGAAUUCCAGGUGUAGCGGUGAAAUGCGUAGAGAUCUGGAGGAAUACCGGUGGCGAAGGCGGCCUGCUGGACUGUAACUGACACUGAGGCGCGAAAGCCAGGGGAGCAAACGG